CCUACGGGAGGCAGCAGUAGGGAAUCUUUCACAAUGGGCGAAAGCCUGAUGGAGCAACGCCGCGUGCAGGAUGAAGGCCUUCGGGUUGUAAACUGCUUUUAUAAGCGAGAAAUAUGAUGGUAACUUAUGAAUAAGGAUCGGCUAACUACGUGCCAGCAGCCGCGGUCAUACGUAGGAUCCGAGCAUUAUCCGGAGUGACUGGGUGUAAAGAGUUGCGUAGGUGGCAUAAUAAGUAGCUAGUGAAAUCUGGUGGCUCAAACAUUCAGACUAGUAGCUAAACUGUUAAGCUCGAGUGCGUUAGGGGCAUCUGGAAUUGCUAGUGUAGGAGUGAAAUCCGUAGAUAUUAGAAGGAACACCAGGAGCGUAGGCAGGAUGCUGGGACGGUUCUGACACUAAGGCACGAAAGCGUAGGGAGCAAACGGGAUUAGAUACCCCGGUAGUC
rnacentral:rRNA from 1 species